rnacentral:rRNA from 1 species
UACGGGGGGUGCAAGCGUCACUCGGAAUCACUGGGCGUAAAGAGCGUGUAGGCGGAUUGGUAAGUUGGAUGUGAAAGCCUAUGGCUCAACCAUAGAAUUGCUUCCAAAACUGCUAGUCUAGAGUGUGGGAGAGGUAGAUGGAAUUUCUGGUGUAGGGGUAAAAUCCGUAGAGAUCAGAAGGAAUACCGAUUGCGAAGGCGAUCUACUGGAACAUUAUUGACGCUGAGACGCGAAAGCGUGGGGAGCAAACAGG